GUUGAACGCUGGCGGCAUGCCUAACACAUGCAAGUCGAGCGGAUGAAGGGAGCUUGCUCCUGGCUUCAGCGGCGGACGGGUGUGUGAUGCCCACGAAUCUGCCUGGUAGUGGGGGCUAACGUCCGUAAACGGGCGCUAAUACCACAUACGUCAUGAGGUUGAACCAGGGGGCUCUUUGGACCUCACGCUUUCUGAUGAGAAUAGGUCGGAUUAGCUAGUUGGUGGGGUAAAGGCCUACCAUGGCGACGAUCCGUAGCUGGUCUGAGAGGAUGAUCAGACACACUGGAACUGAGACACGGUCCAGACUCCUACGGGAGGCAGCAGUGGGGAAUCUUGGGCAAAGGGCGAAAGCCUGAUCCAGCCAUGCCGCGUGUGUGAAGAAGGUCUUCGGAUUGUAAAGCACUGUAAGUUGGGAGGAAGGGCAGUGAGAUAAUACAUGGCUGUAUUGACGUUACCAACAAAAUAAGCACCGGCUAACUUCGUG
rnacentral:rRNA from 1 species